rnacentral:piRNA from 1 species
GAAGACAUGAGGGAAUGCCUACCGUCCC